rnacentral:rRNA from 1 species
GAACGCUGGCGGCGUGCCUAAUACAUGCAAGUCGAGCGAACGGACGAGAAGCUUGCUUCUCUGAUGUUCGCGGCGGACGGGUGAGUAACACGUGGAUAACCUACCUAUAAGACUGGGAUAACUUCGGGAAACCGUAGCUAAUACCGGAUAAUAUUUUGAACCGCAUGGUUCAAAAGUGAAAGACGGUCUUGCUGUCACUUAUAGAUGGAUCCGCGCUGCAUUAGCUAGUUGGUAAGGUAACGGCUUACCAAGGCAACGAUGCAUAGCCGACCUGAGAGGGUGAUCGGCCACACUGGAACUGAGGCACGGUCCAGACUCCUACGGGAGGCAGCAGUAGGGAAUCUUCCGCAAUGGGCGAAAGCCUGACGGAGCAACGCCGCGUGAGUGAUGAAGGUCUUCGGAUCGUAAAACUCUGUUAUUAGGGAAGAACAUAUGUGUAAGUAACUGUGCACAUCUUGACGGUACCUAAUCAGAAAGCCACGGCUAACUACGUG